rnacentral:rRNA from 1 species
AUUGAACGCUGGCGGAAUGCUUUACACAUGCAAGUCGAGCGGCAGCGCGGGGCAACCUGGCGGCGAGCGGCGAACGGGUGAGUAAUGCAUCGGAACAUGUCCAUGUCGUGGGGGAUAGCCCGGCGAAAGCCGGAUUAAUACCGCAUACGCUCGAGAGAGGAAAGCCGGGGACCGCAAGGCCUGGCGCGAUUGGGUUGGCCGAUGUCCGAUUAGCUAGUUGGUGAGGUAAAGGCUUACCAAGGCGAUGAUCGGUAGCUGGUCUGAGAGGAUGAUCAGCCACACUGGGACUGAGACACGGCCCAGACUCCUACGGGAGGCAGCAGUGGGGAAUUUUGGACAAUGGGGGCAACCCUGAUCCAGCCAUUCCGCGUGAGUGAAGAAGGCCUUCGGGUUGU